AAACAGCGCCGGUUCCAAUACUGACCCCUGAGGAAUGCCACUCGUCACGGGUCUCUACUUGGACAUCGAGCCGUUGACCACAACUCUUCCCCAGAUACAGCUGUGGAAGUUGUAUUCCCACAGCUAAGAGGUUUUGGAAGCGUUCUGACAUACGUAGUUCUGGCUCCUGUUCCUCCUGCCAUGGAAACGGGUAGAUGAUUGACCCAGGUUAGCUAGGAAUCUUUAACCUAAUCACUGUUUUUAUUUAAUAAACUAGCUUUACCUUUUUAAAAAAAGCUGUCACUCUGUAGUGAUUUCAUGUUUCCAUGGCAAUGGGAGUGGCAGCCACAGCAGAAGCAAAUAUUGGAAGCAUUUUCCAGAUUCUAAAACAGGGCUGGGAGCUGGGAUGGAUCUUUCAUAGAUAAUAGGUCUGAAUAGGCUGAAGCCUUUAUUAUCUUUGGAAAAAGGAUAGAAAAUCCAUUAUGCUUAACUAUGAGAAAUCAAAACCUCAAGUUAUCCUUAACUGCUAAUUUUGCUCAGAGAGGCUUAUCUUAAAAGAAUGUCUCUUUAGAACAUCAAAACAUACUUGGAAGAGCUCCAGGGCCCUUAAAGAAGGGAGAUUUCCCAGCUGCUGCUACUUUGCUGGUAAACCAGCACAUGCAGAGCAUGUGGCCCUUGUUGCAGAGGUUUAUUCAGAGAUAUCUGCUUCCUUCAGUGUGACAUGUUUAAAAGUGCAAUGCUGAAUUUUCAAAUCACAUUUAGCCCAGAAGAGAGUAAUCCAGGCUGCGUAGGCUUAAACCUGAAGCAUGCUGGAGUAGUUUGAGCAGCUAUGUAAGAAGCUAUAUGGUGUGUUAGCUGAGGUGCCAAGCCCCGUAAUGGGCUCUUUCAUCACUUUUCUUUUUUUUUUUUUUCCUGCUUGUUUCACAGGCUGGAGGGAAAGGGGACAAACAACAGGAAUACUUGAUACGUUUAACAGACUUUAACAAUAAACCACAUAUGCACAUUUCUGGGAAUGUUCAGGUAGCACAUUUUCAGAUGUUAAGGCAACUGCCCGUAAUUUAUAGCUACUGAAGAGGUGCAGUAGAGCUGUAUAAUUUCACUGCCUGCUGUGUGGAAAGUGUGAAAUACCUGUAGAGGGACAAGUGCUUCAGACACUUAAAAUCAGAUAGUGCUAUUGUGCUGAUUUAAAUCAGAGCUGUUUCCCAAGUGCAAGUGUAAAAGCUUUGUGGAACUGCAGUUCAGUAAAUCUGUAAUUUUAAGCUUGCCAGACUAGACACAGAAGAACAAAAGAUCAGGUUUGUUAUAAACAAGCAUAAUGAAGCAAUAUUGAGUGUAAGAAAAUGGUGCUGACAGUUGAAGCUUUUAGCUUUCUGUACUUGGGAGAGAACAAGUGUAUCUCCUGUUCUCUGGGGUUUCUAACUCUGUUUAAUAAUCUGCUUAAACUGACUUGAUAGAAUUGUCACUGAUUUUUCUUCUAACAGGCUGAGAAAUGAGAGUGGAGUUGCCAUCCAUUUUCACUAGUUGUUGUCACAUCCACUUCCCCUAAAACAAGUUAGAGGUUUACAUUAACCUAAGUAAUGCCUUGUUUCUUCUGAGCAACCAUAUCCUGUAGGUUCUUCUUAAGAGUAACCUCUGUUGCCUAUCUACCCAUGAGGAAUUCUUGGUUGUGGGGGUAUGCGUCUUAAAUCCAAGAAUUGUAUGUGCUUUUUACCUCCAAUCCCUGAAUUGGCUUCCUGUGUAGUGAUAAAGUGUAAUGGUAAGAGGUAGAUGUUAUAAUAGCUCUGCUACUGCGAGGGGCUAUAGGGAGAGCGCAUGCUUGUGAGAGCUCCAUAACGCUAUUUUUAGUUGCUUAGUUUUCUUUCUGUUGUAGAAAUAAUUAUUAAUGUCUUUUUGUUCUUGUUCAGAAGGCUUGCUUACCCUUCCCCUUCCCCCUGCUGAGAGACUGGAAUAGUUUAAGCUUUCUAAAGCAUGAAUGUCUUGCUCAAAAUUUGGCAAAGCGUAAUACAAGAUUAAUUGUAAGUAGUCCUUGCUAAAGGGCUAAAUGAACUUUUUUCACAAUGUGAUUACACUUCAGUGCUAAUUUUUCUUCCACACGUUGAUGUGAAUUAAACUGAAGGAUCUUGUUCUCAUCAACAUGUAAUACUAGCUUGCAUUAUCACUCAUGUCUUAGAUAACAUGUAAAUUAAGGGAAAAGGAAAACUAGCUUGCAGUAUUCUUCUAGGAAACCUGCAGGGAUACUUUCAAGCCUUAACUCGUUUACUGUGUUGGAUUAGGAAUGUGAGUCUUCCUUGAGGAUGCUUGCUUAAAUUCUUGGAUCUAUGGCUGUUCAUUCUUCCCUUUGUCUGUUUCACUUCUUUUAAGGCCAUUCUCAUUCUUCUAUGUUUUCUUGCAUUUAAUUCACUAUAUUCAAUGACCAGAACAUUUGCUGUAGUUUAAGUGUUUGGUGAGAAUGCAGCUACAUAGAAACCAGGCGUCUGCUUCUCUGAUGCAAGCUGGCUUAUGCUGCAUCUACUCAGAGUGGCUACCAUUUUAUACUUGCCUUUUUUCCUUACUAUUUUUACAGAUGACAUCUAGAGUCACUGAAACUGUAAGGCUAGAAAAUGUUAUUGCUUACUUCUUCCCCCACUCCCACCCUAGUUUUACUUUGUGAGUUUGAAAGCAUUUAUAAAAUACCUUUUUUUUAAGUUGCUAACUGUUUGAAAUGCUUAAAAAGUGUUUAAAGGACAGCAGUUAACAGGUGGAUCUGGGAAGGUUUUAUACCCGGAAUUAACUGGGAUGUUCUUUUAACUGAAUAAAUCUCAAAUAGAUAACUUUCCUUCAAGUGGAUGGCUUGAAAGUUUGCUAGGGAAGUUGCAUUUAAAGACACUUCAAGGACGUGUAAAAUUCCAUUCUGUUGUAAAAUGUUGCAGUUCAUAUGUGUGCUUUUUGUGUGAAACUGAACUUUUAUCUUCAGAAUAGGUGACUGAAUAGGCGGUAGAAUAUGGCUGGACAAAUAUCGGAAUCUGAUCAGAUCAAGCAGUUCAAGGAGUUUCUUGGAACAUACAAUAAACUUACAGAAAACUGCUUCCUGGAUUGCAUAAAGGAUUUCACUAGCCGAGAGGUUAAACCAGAAGAGAUGACUUGCUCAGACCACUGCCUACAGAAGUAUUUAAAAAUGACACAAAGGAUCUCCAUGAGAUUUCAGGAGUACCAUAUUCAGCAGAACGAAGCUCUGGCAGCUAAAGCAGGACUGCUUGGCCAGCCUCGUUAGACAAGAGCACUCUGUUCAGACUUUACAAGCAGUGCCAGCGUUCAUUGGGCAAGAAACAUUCUGGAUUUUCUACUGUUGGCAUGUAUGUCUGGCAACUCAGAAGAGACUUCUGGAUGCUGUUCAGACAGUGGAAACCAUGAAGGGUUAAAAAAGAAGUUAGUCAUAAUGGACUGGCAAUGGAGUCUGUUUCUGAGGUCCUUUUCACUCUACAAUGGAGUAAUAUUGAUACAAACUUUUCCAGGGCCCACAGACUGGGAACCCCAGGGGUCCUCCAAACCCAGCUUCCUUGCCUGAUGCAAGCAUGAUGCACUCCAAGCACUGAGCUUGCUGGCAGUUUUCUCCUUUAAUUGUGUGGAUGCCAAUUGUGUGAAGGCCAACAGAAAGUACAAGGUAUGCACAAAACGACGUCUUUUUUGCUGCUGGAUGAGUACAGAGAGAAGCUUGUGGAAGCUAGCUGUUCUGAUGUUGUGGUUUUGGUUUAGAAAACAACACCAGUCCUUUGAAAGGAUCUUGAUAGCUGAAAUCCUGCAGUCAGAUUGUUAGUACAGUAGAGUGAUAGCUAACAAACAGGCACAUUUUACUUUAGUUCUAACUAAUAAAAUACAGUAACAAAAGGAACUGAACAUCAGGAUUACCAUAUUGAUUUUUGAGAUUUCAAGCGAUGAAGACUGAAACAAAGCUAUUUCAUGUCAGCUGCCAGGUUCUGUUGUUGGGUAGAAAGGCAACAAUAAGGAACAGAAGUGGCAGGAAGCCUGCCCACAUGCUUUUUUGUUGUUACCUUCUCUGUUGCUUUUUAUUUCUAGCAGCAGUUUGAAAGAAUGAUUUCCUGCCUGCUUUUUUUUCUUCACUGCUUAAACUCUCAGCUAUCCAGGCUGUGGAUUACUAGGCCCUGACCGCAGCACCGUACACCUGCCACUUGCACUGGACACUGCUCUGCUUGCUCUUUAAAGCUGCCCCAGCUCUCCACAGAAAUCUGUUCAUAUGCCUUUCAAAGGUGGAAGAAACAACUAUGUUCCUACGGUCUCAUUUACGUGUUUUGUACUAGCCAUAUCACAGCUCUUUCCUACAUAGCCCAUGCCUUGUUACCUUGGAGAUGGCCAAGAGCUAACUCUAAAAUAGUAUAGGCUAAAAAAGAGCCCAAAUAAGGCAGCAAGUCUCCAAUGUCCUGUUUUUUCAAAAGAAUAACUGUCUAGAUUGUUUGCUACAAUUAGGCAAAUUAGAAAUAAUAUAUCCAUAGUAAAGAUACAAGGCUUUCUUUAAAGCAGUUUUUUUGUUUAAACAUUUGAAAAUAAUGCAUGACUGAAAUUAUCCCAUUUUCCAUUGCAUCUUAGUGUGCGAAGAGAACAGUUGCUCAGAAAAGUGACUGAAGAGUUUAAGUGAUGGGACUGCAGGAUGUUCAUGUCUUCUGGGCAAAGCUCCUUGGGGCUCAAGUGAGGGUGGUUAAAAAAAAAAAAAAUCGUGGUUUUCCCUCAUGUUUCAGUGUUUGGGGAUUUGGGCGCAGGAAGAUGUUUAAAUAUUUGUUAAGACAGAUUUACUGUACAAAACAUUAAGCAAGUGUUAGAGGGACUUAGUUAAUAAAUUACUCACUUUCAGCUUCCCCAGUUUCCUUUUAAUCCAGUUUUAAAGCUGCCUUAACCCCCUGUUGUCCAGGGAGAACAUGUAUUCUUAAAAUCUAAUUAGAUGUCACAUCCCCCUGCCUCUCCCCAUGCUCACUAAACAAAUAGGUGGGAUGAAAAGUGUCACUGGAAGUACGAGCAUCGGGUUGAUAGCUGCUACCCUGAAAUUAAGCUGGCCAGACAAAAGCUCCUGACUUCUACAGGAGCAAUGUGCUUAUAGCAACUGUAGUUUGUUUAUGGAUGUACCUGUUAAUUAUGACUAUUUAAAAGCUAACUAGAGUGGAAAACAACUUGCAAUGCUACUGCACAAAGAUGCAGAUAAGAAUGGAGUUACUGGCUCGCUCUUUUGGAUAACCAGUUUUGUCCUAUCUCUGUUUCACUCAAAAAAUGUUGCCAUCUUUCAAUCCAGGUGACUGAUUGAAGAAAGAUGAUACAAAUAUAUUUUAGCUCGGAAGUGCAUCUGUGUAACUAAAGCAUCCAGGUGCUGCAGAAAGCAACAGUGAAAACUUUCUUAGAAGGUUAACUUGCUUUGCUGAGCUUUGACUUCCCUUUGCCUCCUUGAUGACUUCGCACAUCCUGGUGGGUGGCUCAAAUCAUGUUAUUUAGAAAAUAGCACUGAUAAGAUUUUGUUAACAGGACUUGUGGGUUGAGAAUGAUUCAGAACACAAAGUGUUUCAGUGCCUCUCACACAUAUGUUAUGAGCAUGUAUUGGCAAAAUGUUGCAGCUGGUCUUUCCUCCUUGGAGCAAGAUCUCCCAGCACCUGAUUCUCAAAAAUAUUUAACUGCAAAUGCAAAAAUCAGUAUUUCCACAGUGCCUGGAUGCAUGUCCACUGUGAGCGCCCACAAAGGCAGCCCAGGCUGCAUGUUUUCUCUCCCAGCAGAGUAUUCUAACUUCCAUGACAUAGCUUAAAUCUGGAGUGUUCUCCAUUCCUCCUCUUGAAUAGCUUCAAGCUUGCAUGGCAUAAUGAAAAGCACAGCCAAAAUCAGAAUAAAAAUGAGGCAGCUUAAUCUCUGGAUCAUAACUGAAAGGCAACAGUAUUUAAGAUAAGGUGUGUGGAGAGUAGGUGAAUCACCUUGAUGAGGCAUAUUAGGUUAGGUGCAGGAAUGGAACCAAUCCUGACGGAAAGAGGAGCAAAGGGUGAAAAACAGGGUGCUGCUGAAGAAGGAGUACUGAGAAGGCUGUGGAAAAAGUGAGCCACAGAGUGGAGGUUGGAGGGGAGAGAAGGCAACAGCAGUGCAGCCUGCCAAAAACUGGCAUGAUGAGACUGGGCUACUGAACAGACGCUCAUUUGGAGGUGAUGUUCAUUGCAGCACAGCCAGGAACAUAGCUCCUUCCUUCUGAAAUGAGUGUCUGAACCAAAAGGCUAGAAAAGAAUGCAAUUACUAGUCAGCCCACAGAAAACAGAACAAUUUCAACAGGAAGGGUCAAAUGAGAGUCGUGCUCCAGAAUGCCCUGUACAUCAGUGGUACUGGCAGAGUGAUCAGAUCAAUCAUCUGGAAGAUUAUAAUAGAGGUUCCUUGAAUUCUCUCAAGGACAGGAGCAAAGUCCUAAUUUCUGUAACCCCUUGCUGAGAGCUUCCACUACUGAGCUGUCUGUUGGAAGGCCGGGAAAGGAUGUGACUGCAGUCUUCUGUGAGGAAAGUAUGGGUUAAAUACCUAAUGCCCAGAGAUAGAGUGUGGCUGUGACUUCAGUGCAAGGAGGCAUUGCUCUGUACUCUUAAAUACUUUGAGAACUAGAGUUUAUGCAACAGUUCUUUUUUCAACAUUUUCUAUUAGCUAGGUUAGGAAGUCAGAACACAGCAUUUGAGGAAUCUAGUUCAAAUCUUGGGAAGUCCAUUAAGCUCAGCUCCAAAAUUUCUUUAAUGAGUCUGGCCCAAACUCUAAAACCUGUAAAAGCAAUUUGAGCUUGUACCUGAACUUGCAUCAUGCUUGCACCUUGAGUUUCAAAAAGACAGCAUUAAGAGAACUCUAAAAUUUAAAGUUACAAUUCUGCUAAAUA